UUGUCUUAAAGACUUGAAAACACUAACGAGUCUUUGCUUCCUUAAUCUCCUCCAAUCUGCAGUAAAUGUGUGUGGUUAUUAUACUUAUAUAACCGUAACGUAUUGAAAAUGAUAUAAGACUGAAACAGAUUCAGACUAAUCUGAAGAUAAGAAAGGCUAAGCGAGCCUAUUAGGAAGAAAACUCGACUACUGUAGUAACUGAUCGACCAUUAUAAUUUUAAGCAACUCUCAUUGUUAGUUUUGAUAGCUCUUGAGUUCUUUCUGAGAAUAGCGUUGCUAUAAUAUAAUAGUUCUUGAGGGAACAACUGUUUUUCUUGCUCUUGUGUCAGUAUCUCUCUUAUCUAUCUCCUCAGAACCUGGAAAAAAGGAUUUAACUGAUCAGUUUUGCAGGUUAAUAAAUCUCUUAUGGAGUUAAUAAAGGCGUCAGAAAUGAAGAAAGCACCAACCGAUUGGACUAACCUGACACCUGAAACUCCCGGUAUAAGAGUUGCACAAGUAUCCACUCUUUCAGACCGUUGUUCUUCAUUUUCGAAGCUUGUUCUGAGACUAAUAUCAACGUUUCCUUUCAGGUUAUUUCACGAGGAGAAUAG
rnacentral:lncRNA from 1 species